rnacentral:rRNA from 1 species
UACGUAGGGUGCUAGCGUUGUCCGGAUUUAUUGGGCGUAAAGAGCGUGUAGGCGGCCAGGUAGGUCUGCUGUGAAAACUCGAGGCUCAACCUCGAGACGUCGGCGGAAACCAUCUGGCUAGAGUCCGGAAGAGGAGACUGGAAUUUACGGUGUAGCGGUGAAAUGCGUAGAUAUCGUAAGGAAGACCAGUGGCGAAGGCGGGUCUCUGGACAGUUCCUGACACUGAGGCACGAAGGCCAGGGGAGCAAACGGG